CUACGUCCAUUUCACGUUGAAACACCGGUUUUCAUAAGAUCACCGAAGUUAAGCAACAUUGAGACUGAUCAUUAUUGGUGACCGCUUGGGAAUACCAGGUGCUGUAAG